UACGGAGGGAGCUAGCGUUGUUCGGAAUUACUGGGCGUAAAGCGCACGUAGGCGGCUUUGUAAGUUAGAGGUGAAAGCCCGGGGCUCAACCCCGGGUCGGCCGUGGCAACUGUCGAGCUGGAGCACUGUAGAGGCAGGUGGAAUUCCGGGUGUAGCGGUGGAAUGCGUAGAGAUCCGGAAGAACACCGGUGGCGAAGGCGGCUCGCUGGGCAGUGGCUGACGCUGAGGCGCGACAGCGUGGGGAGCAAACAGG
rnacentral:rRNA from 1 species